rnacentral:rRNA from 1 species
UCCAGACUCCUACGGGAGGCAGCAGUGGGGAAUCUUCCGCAAUGGGCGAAAGCCUGACGGAGCAACGCCGCGUGAUCGAAUGAAGGCCUUCGGGUUGUAAAGAUCUGUUGACAGGGACGAAUAAGCAAUGCGAAUAGUUUUGUGUAUGACGGUACCUGUUUAGAAAGCUCCGGCUAACUACGUGCCAGCAGCCGCGGUAAUACGGAGGAUCCGAGCGUUAUCCGGAUUCAUUGGGUUUAAAGGGUGCGUAGGUUGUUUUAUAAGUUAGCGGUGAAAUACCGAUGCUCAACAUCGGGGCUGCCGCUAAUACUGUAGGACUAGAGAUCGGAUGCAGCAGGCGGAAUGUGUAGUGUAGCGGUGAAAUGCAUAGAUAUUACACAGAACACCGAUUGCGAAGGCAGCUUGCUAGGCCGGAUCUGACACUGAUGCACGAAAGCGUGGGGAUCGAACAGGAUUUGAUACCCGCGUA